rnacentral:rRNA from 1 species
AUACGUAGGUGGCGAGCGUUAUCCGGAUUUACUGGGUGUAAAGGGCGCGUAGGCGGGGAUACAAGUCAGGUGUGAAAUCUAUGGGCUUAACCCAUAAACUGCACUUGAAACUGUAUCUCUUGAGUGUCGGAGAGGUAGACGGAAUUCCUAGUGUAGCGGUGAAAUGCGUAGAUAUUAGGAGGAACACCAGUGGCGAAGGCGGUCUACUGGACGAUAACUGACGCUGAGGCGCGAAAGCGUGGGGAGC